GUGGGGAAUAUUGCACAAUGGACGAAAGUCUGAUGCAGCAACGCCGCGUGGAGGAUGACACAUUUCGGUGCGUAAACUCCUUUUAUAUAAGAAGAUAAUGACGGUAUUAUAUGAAUAAGCACCGGCUAACUCCGUGCCAGCAGCCGCGGUAAUACGGGGGGUGCAAGCGUUACUCGGAAUCACUGGGCGUAAAGAGCAUGUAGGCGGAUUAAUAAGUUUGAAGUGAAAUACUAUAGCUUAACUAUAGAACUGCUUUGAAAACUGUUAGUCUAGAAUGUGGGAGAGGUAGAUGGAAUUUCUGGUGUAGGGGUAAAAUCCGUAGAGAUCAGAAGGAAUACCGAUUGCGAAGGCGAUCUACUGGAACAUUAUUGACGCUGAGAUGCGAAAGCGUGGGGAGCAAACAGGAUUAGAAACCCCGGUAGUCC
rnacentral:rRNA from 1 species